rnacentral:lncRNA from 1 species
UAACAACAGUUAUUAUUUCUGAUCAUCACUGCAUUCUUUCUCUGCACUAGAAAUGAAUUAUAACAACGAAAACAAUGCUUCCCAUGCUGUUCUUUUUGAAGCCCUUGCUCUGGUAAUGCAUCUUGAUGCUGAAAAGGAGGUGACAUGUUAUCAGUUUUGAAGCGUAUUGAAAUGGACCAGGCGAACCAAAUAUAUCGUAUAUAUGUUCAAGAUAUUACAGAGCACCUGAGCUUAUUUUUGGAGCAACUGAAUAUACUACAGCUAGUGAUGUUUGGUCUGUGGGUUGUGUUAUGGCUGAACUGUUGCUUGGACAG